AUGCACAGAAGAGACAGUCAUGAGGGGAAAAUAACCACCACGGCUAGACAAACAGCUUGAUACGAGUGUUUUUCCUGUUUACUAUGUUUUAGCUUCGGAGGUGUCCCCAUGAACCAAUGGUUUCAGUCAUCGUACGAGGAAGUUGCUUUUAUAUUGCGAGAGGUUUAACUGCGACGGGUGAAGCCAAGGCCUCCUGCAUGUCCAUCACAUGCCCUUCCUCGUUGGCUCUCUGUUUUGGAACAUUUUCAGCAGCGGGCAGAGCAGAUCAGGCAGGCAGCUGUUUGUGUUUUCAGUCAGUGGAGGAUUAGAGGUGUGAUCCCACAGCUGACAGUGCCUCCGGGUGCCUGGACGCCACACAGACAGGCCUUUUAAUGGCUCUACACUGGGAGGGUUGGUUCUGUGAUCAUCAUCAGGAGGAGACACUCUUCACCUGGAUCAGAUCUUAGAAUUGUGGAAGGAGAAGAACAGCAGCUUCUGCUCGUGUCUCAUCUUGGUGCUCGACUGUGAUAACUCAUUUCCCGGGAUGAAGGAGACGUGGAGCUGCAGGACCUGCCACAGCUGGGAGACUCACCUCCCAGUGAGUGUCUUAAAACUGCAACUCAAACAGUGACAUCUGCUGGUUGCAGAGGGGCAGGGCAGUUUCUAACACCCAUGGCAUCACCAAACAUUGGAGCCACUACACUCUGCACCUGCCGACAGGAAGUGAUAACAGCAACCACUGGAACAUGUUCUUCUCUCAGGUGACCUGCCCAGUGGUUCAGCUGGUGCAGUUAGUGCUUUGGUCUGAACAUGCUGUGGCAUCUGCCUGUGAUCUCUUAAGAGAGUCAAACACAACAGGAUUCCACCAGCGAUACUGAACACCAGCCAAUACCUCAAACUGGUCACAUUAUAUAAAUAUGAGCAAAAUCUAUUUUAGAGCAUAUUUCUUGGACUCUAAAAAUAAAAAAAUCAUUACAUUUUGUAAAAAUCCAAGCUGUGCUUUUUACUGUUAUCACCAAAGAACAUCCAGCUUCCUCUGCUGUUCUAAUAAACCAAAUUGGCCACGACAACAGCAGCGCAUGUAGAUGCAGCAGCCUGUCGCGCCUCAAAUCUUUGCUACUUUUUUGCUAUAUUUUUCUAUUUUUCGGACUCCAUGGCCCCUUCUGCUGAAGCACGACUUUUCUACGAGAGAAGCAUCUUUCAAAGUUGUUUGGGGUUUGGACUGAAUGCAGCAGACUGUGAGAGAAUCCACGCCAAUGGCAUAUGGCGAGCGGCCAGUCAGACCAGAGUAGAGAAACGAAACCGAAAGCGCCAAACGAAGAGAGAAUGUGAUGAAUUUUGGUGUAAAUCUAAUUUUAGGCAGUCUGGAGCAUUUUCUCAUGCCCUAAAUAUUACAUUGUUUUUGUAUUUUGAUUGUGCAGUGAUUCCUCUGUACUACACUAUGCAUUUUAGGCUCGAAUUGUGUUCAGUGCACUGCUUUCUGUUCAUUGUAACAGCAUUUUGUAAUUCUUUUAGGGGUGAUUUUUUGAAUCAUCCAACUGCUUCAGGGAGACCAGAAAGAGUUUUGAUAAACAUUAUGUACUGAUAAAUGCACUGCACACAGACAUGUAUGCAAACUGCAGUAUUUAUGUGAUAAUAAA